rnacentral:lncRNA from 1 species
UUAAUAAAUAAAAAAAGAAAGAAAGAAAGAAAGAAAGAAAGAAAGAAAGAAAGAAAGAAAGAAAGAAAGAAAGAAAGAAAGAAAGAAAGAAAGAAAGAAAGAAAGAAAGAAAGAAAGAAAGAAAGAAAGAAAGAAAGAAAGAAGAUAGAAAGAAGAAGAAGAAGAAGAAGAAGAAGAAGAAGGAAGAAGGAAGAAGGAAGAAGGAAGGAGGAAGGAAGGAAGGAAGGAAGGAGGAGGAGGAGAAAGGAGAAAGAAAGAAAGAAAAAAGGAGGAGGAGGAGGAGGAGGAGGAGGAGGAUGAGGAGAGAGAGAGAGAGAGAGAGAGAGAGAGAGAGAGAGNNNNNNNNNNNNNNNGAAGGAAGGAAGGAAGGAAGGUAGGAAGGAAGGAAGGAAGGAAGGAAGGAAGGAAGGAAGGAAGGAAGGAAGUUAGGAAGGAAGGAAGGAAGGAAGGAAGGAAGGAAGGAAGGAAGGAAGAAGACAAUAUUAAAAGAUAUAUAAAAGAGGAGGGAGGAGAAAAGAGUAAGUUAAUC